rnacentral:rRNA from 1 species
UAUGGUAUAACUUAGUGGCAGACGGGUGAGUAAUGUAUAGGAAUCUACCUAGUAGUACGGAAUAAUUGUUGGAAACGGCAACUAAUACCGUAUACGCCCUACGGGGGAAAAAUUUAUUGCUAUUAGAUGAGCCUAUAUUAGAUUAGCUAGUUGGUGGAGUAAUAGCCUACCAAGGCAAUGAUCUAUAGCUGAUCUGAGAGGAUGAUCAGCCACACUGGAACUGAGAUACGGUCCAGACUCCUACGGGAGGCAGCAGUGGGGAAUAUUGGACAAUGGGCGAAAGCCUGAUCCAGCCAUGCCGCAUGAGUGAAGAAGGCCUUUGGGUUGUAAAGCUCUUUUAGUGAGGAAGAUAAUGACGGUACUCACAGAAGAAGUCCUGGCUAACUCCGUGCCAGCAGCCGC